rnacentral:tRNA from 1 species
AUUAAGGUGGCAGAGCCAGGUAAUAUGCAAGAGGCCUAAACCCUCUCUUCAGAAGUUCAAAUCUUCUCCUUAACC